GCUCUCACUCGAAUCAACAAAUUUCUCUGGGUCUCCUCGCACAGAAAUCCAAAACCAACCUGGAUAUACCAUAUGCUUCUGGAGGUUUCUUCUUUCUUCUACAGCCAAAGAAUUGACUUGCGCCGGUUUCUUCUUUCUUCUUUAGCCAUAUAACCAAGAUUGAGAGAGUGGAUUGUUGCUCCUGCAAAUCAUUCCUUGCUUUUGAUCUGCGAAUUUCUAUUUGGUUCCUGCAGUCCCUUUUUUUUCCCUUUUCUCGCUCUCCUCACUGUGAACUCUUUACCUGAUUUCUUCAAAUCAGUGUAUAUGUGAUUGAUUUAGGAAUUGGGCUCUGCUAUUGCAUUAAGUAUCAAAACCAGGGACUCAGGCGUUGCUGAGAUUGUUAUUCAUUUUGAAAUUUUGGAUUUUCAAAGGAGAUGAGGGCAGUGUGUAAACAAAUUGACUGAGACCUGGCUGAGAUUGUUUUUGAUUUUGAACGAAUCUGUAAAUAAUUUUCUACAGAGUUUUCAAGGAGGAGCAACGCAUUAUCAAAUUAAAGGGACUGAGGGAUCAACUGAGAAGGAGGGGAUAGAUUUUAUCACAUUCUUGGCCUGAUUUUUCUAAGGUUGAAUUGCUCCCAAAAGGCUUGGAAAUCUGGUUUCAAUUGCUCACAAUACGCUUGGAAAUCUGGUUUCUUUCACAGAAGUCUUUGCAAAACCUUGGGCACUUCAAUAGAGAAGAGAAGGCGGCAAAUCAGUUUGAUCUCCAAUUUGACAAGUGAGAUGCCAUCAAGCUGUACUGCAUCAAUCAGGCUCUGAGAUACAGAGGUUGGGUUGAAAACAAGUACGAAAUUUCACCAUCUACGGGUACUGGAGAAUCUCACUGUUUUUGCUUCCUUCAUUGGUCAAUUCGACCAGAGACUGAGAUUGGUAGAACUUUAGAAUGGCAAUGAUGCACUGAACCUUUGGAGAGAUCCAAGAUUUUGGUCAAUUUUUUGGAGGAAGCUUUAGCUUUGUUUCAGAAGAAGUGGCUGCUAAAAUUUUGAUCCAAAACUGUUUUAUCCAGUUAUUUAAAAUUCUGCUCUUGAGUGAGUUUUUUCUUUCUAAAUUUUGU